rfam:Roseburia sp. CAG:50 genomic scaffold, scf97
AGAGAAUAAAUGGGGAGCUUGCCGACAGCAGGCUGAGAGCAGACUAAGUGGUCUGGACCCGUAACCUGAUUUGGAUAAUGCCAACGUAGGGAUACAGCGGAUGCAGUAU